rnacentral:tRNA from 1 species
GGGGUUGUGGCUCAGUGGUAGAGCACUUGCCCCGCAUACGAGAGGCAUUCAGUUUGAUCCUCAGCACCA